GGUUGAUCUUGCCAGUAGUCAUAUGCUUGUCUCAAAGAUUAAGCCAUGCAUGUCUAAGUUCAAGCGAAAAUAAAGUGAAACCGCGAAUGGCUCAUUACAUCAGUUAUGGUUCCUUAGAUCGCACUUACUACUUGGAUAACUGUGGUAAUUCUAGAGCUAAUACAUGCGCUGGGCUCCAACCCUCGUGGAAGGAGCGCUUUUAUUAGAUCAAAGCCAAUCGGGCCUUCGGGUCCGUUUACUUGGUGACUCUGAAUAACUUUGCUGAUCGCAUGGUCUCGUACCGGCGACGUAUCUUUCAAGUGUCUGCCUUAUCAACUGUCGAUGGUAGGUUAUGCGCCUACCAUGGUGGUAACGGGUAACGGGGAAUCAGGGUUCGAUUCCGGAGAGGGAGCCUGAGAAACGGCUACCACAUCCAAGGAAGGCAGCAGGCGCGCAAAUUACCCACUCCCAGCUCGGGGAGGUAGUGACGAAAAAUAACGAUACGGAACUCUUACGAGGCUCCGUAAUCGGAAUGAGUACACUUUAAAUCCUUUAACGAGGAUCUAUUGGAGGGCAAGUCUGGUGCCAGCAGCCGCGGUAAUUCCAGCUCCAAUAGCGUAUAUUAUUAUUGUUGCGGUUAAAAAGCUCGUAGUUGGAUCUCGGUUUCGGGCGAGCGGUGUACCUUGCGGUAUUUACUGUUUGCCCGGACGAUUUUGUUGGUUCGUUUAUGGUUCUCUUAACCGAGUGCCAUAAGUGGCCAGCACGUUUACUUUGAAAAAAUUGGAGUGCUCAAAGCAGGCGCUACAGCCUGAACAUUAGUGCAUGGAAUAAUGGAAUAGGAUCUCGGUUCUAUUUCGUUGGCUUUCGGAGUCGAGGUAAUGAUUAAUAGGGACAGACGGGGGCAUUCGUACUGCGACGUUAGAGGUGGAAUUCUUGGAUCGUCGCAAGACGAACUACUGCGAAAGCAUUUGCCAAGAAUGUUUUCAUUAAUCAAGAACGAAAGUUAGAGGUUCGAAGGCGAUCAGAUACCGCCCUAGUUCUAACCAUAAACGAUGUCGACCGGCGAUCCGUUAUCGUUAACUGAAUGACUUAACGGGCAGCCUCCGGGAAACCAGAGUGUUUGGAUUCCGGGGGAAGUAUGGUUGCAAAGCUGAAACUUAAAAGAAUUGACGGAAGGGCACCACCAGGAGUGGAGCCUGCGGCUUAAUUUGACCCAACACGGGAAAUCUCACCAGGCCCGGACACCGGAAGGAUUGACAGAUUGAGAGCUCUUUCUUGAUUCGGUGGGUGGUGGUGCAUGGCCGUUCUUAGUUGGUGGAGCGAUUUGUCUGGUUAAUUCCGAUAACGAACGAGACUCUGGCCUACUAACUAGACGUUAGAUCCCUUUGUGGGUCUAUCGCAGCUUCUUAGAG
rnacentral:rRNA from 1 species